rnacentral:rRNA from 1 species
CAGCCAAGUCGUGAGGUGGAGCUAAUCCCUUAAAGCCAUUCUCAGUUCGGAUUGUAGGCUGAAACUCGCCUACAUGAAGCUGGAGUUACUAGUAAUCGCAGAUCAGAAUGCUGCGGUGAAUGCGUUCCCGGGUCUUGUACACACCGCCCGUCACACCACGGAAGUUGGGGGCGCCCGAAGCCACUUAGCUAACCCUUUUGGGAAGCGAGUGUCGAAGGUGAAAUCAAUAACUGGGGUGAAGUCGUAACAAGGUAUC